rnacentral:sRNA from 1 species
ACAGAGAAGAAGAAGAUAAAGA